GAAGCAUAGCUCAGCUGGUAGAGCACCUGCCUUACAAGCAGGGGGUCACAGGUUCGAGCCCUGUUGUUUCC
rnacentral:tRNA from 2 species